AUCUAUAUCCGUUUCUGCCCAGUUCUUCCCCACUUUCCCUGUACCAGGUACUACCAUCUUCAUUAGUGCCCGACUCGCAUGCUCUUUUAGAUUCCAUUAUUGGCCAAAUUGAAUAGCCUUCUAGCCGAUCUUCAGGCCAAACAACCAUCGUAAUGU